rnacentral:tRNA from 1 species
CGAUCUAUGGCUAAAUUGGUAAAGGCAUCGUGCGGGUUUGAGUCCCGCUAAAACGA